rnacentral:lncRNA from 1 species
GUUUCUCUUGUGUCUAGAUCCGGGAUUCCGCAUCAGUUGGUAUCAAUUUCAGGCCAUUCGGUGUUAUUUUUGAAGCUAAAAUCAUAUCCGAAACGAGUCAAAAUACCAAAAACACUUUUCAUCGGUUUCGUCAAUUUUCUUUUUUUUCUCCUCUUAUUCUUUAAAAAAAUAAAAAGCAAAAAGCGCAAAAAAAAAACCGCAAAAAAAAAGAAAAAGCAAAAAGCGCAAAAAAAACCGCAAAAAAAAAGUUGCCUACCUUUCCUACGUAGGUUUCUUCU